GUGGAAAAUGUGGCUUAAUUUGACUCAACACGGGAAAUCUUACCAGGUCCGGACACAUUAAGGAUUGACAGAUUAAUAUAUAAAUAUGAUAGUUCUUUCAUAAUUAUGUGAUAGGUGGUGCAUGGCCGUUCUUAGUUCGUGGAGUGAUUUGUCUGCUUAAUUGCGUUUCAUUUAUAAAAAACAAUACAAUUAUAUUAUUUUUUUUAAAAUAAUUUAUAUAUGUAUUAAAUAUUGAAUGCAACGAACGUGACCG
rnacentral:rRNA from 1 species